UACAGAGUAAGCGAACAGAGACUGUACUGCAGCCGGGGAAGAUUUACUAAACGGCGGUUUGGCUUAAAGGCACAGGAGGUGUCUUAACAAUUGGUGGCAGCGGUAGGAUGAAUCCUACAGCAUUGGAGGUCAGCUACGAGACAUGCAGUACGAGGAAUUAAGGCGUGCGACACUUAAGGACAUAUUGGAACGCCGAGGAAGGUCAGCAAGCAAUUUAAAGAAACGGGAGAUUAUUGCUUUGCUAAUGGAGAUGGA